rnacentral:lncRNA from 1 species
AAAAAGAGGAAGAAGAGGAGAAAUUGCAGAAAAUAGUGCAACUAAUGAAAUAUGAACACGUCGUCUACCCCGUGAAAGGUAAUUGUACUUGCUAAGGACGUUGUAUCUUAAUCACACCUUUAUAUUUAGUUUUUAAUAACUCUUAAUAUCUUUAAUAAUUCUGUAUCUUUUAUGGUUCAAAUAUAUACUUAUUUAAUCAAUCAUACAUCUUCUUCUCCGCCAUAAGCCACCACAACCUCCAGCUUAUUCCGUCACCAACCAAGUCGAUUCUUCUUUAGUUGAAGGCAAAUAUGAUCGAAAAAGUUAAUCUACACAGAUCUAUGAUUGAAAGAUCCUUCUCCUUUUUGUAUGGUUGUUAUUGUGGUGGUUUAAUGCUCCAACUCUUCCGGACAACCUCUAUCUCCUCCUUUUUUUUUCCAGGCUUUCCAGUUCAGAUCCGUCGUUUUCAAAUCUACUCCAGAUCUAAAAUGUUUCGAAGAGUAUGUCGACUGUACAUCAAUUGUUGUCAAUUAUAUGUUAAUUUGUAUAUCAAUUGUAUCUGAAUUGUAUGUCAUGCACAUCAAUUGUAUCACUUAUGUAUCUCUUGUGUUUUGCUUGUAUAUCACUUCUUCUUGGUAUGCAUGAUGGUUAUGUGUUUUUGGUGGUGGUUUGAAGGUGGGAGGAUUGUAUGUCCACGAUUUUCCAUUGUAUAUACGAUGAUACAUAGGACAUACAUUGUAGAUAAAUA